rnacentral:rRNA from 1 species
AUGAACGCUAGCUACAGGCUUAACACAUGCAAGUCGAGGGGCAGCAUGAACUUAGCUUGCUAAGUUUGAUGGCGACCGGCGCACGGGUGAGUAACACGUAUCCAACCUGCCGAUGACUCGGGGAUAGCCUUUCGAAAGAAAGAUUAAUACCCGAUGGCAUAGUUCUUCCGCAUGGUAGAACUAUUAAAGAAUUUCGGUCAUCGAUGGGGAUGCGUUCCAUUAGGUUGUUGGCGGGGUAACGGCCCACCAAGCCUUCGAUGGAUAGGGGUUCUGAGAGGAAGGUCCCCCACAUUGGAACUGAGACACGGUCCAAACUCCUACGGGAGGCAGCAGUGAGGAAUAUUGGUCAAUGGACGAGAGUCUGAACCAGCCAAGUAGCGUGAAGGAUGACUGCCCUAUGGGUUGUAAACUUCUUUUAUACGGGAAUAAAGUGAGGCACGUGUGCCUUUUUGUAUGUACCGUAUGAAUAAGGAUCGGCUAACUCCGUGCCAGCAGCCGCGGUAAUACGGAGGAUCCGAGCGUUAUCCGGAUUUAUUGGGUUUAAAGGGAGCGUAGGCGGACGCUUAAGUCAGUUGUGAAAGUUUGCGGCUCAACCGUAAAAUUGCAGUUGAUACUGGGUGUCUUGAGUACAGUAGAGGCAGGCGGAAUUCGUGGUGUAGCGGUGAAAUGCUUAGAUAUCACGAAGAACUCCGAUUGCGAAGGCAGCCUGCUGGACUGUAACUGACGCUGAUGCUCGAAAGUGUGGGUAUCAAACAGGAUUAGAUACCCUGGUAGUCCACACAGUAAACGAUGAAUACUCGCUGUUUGCGAUAUACAGUAAGCGGCCAAGCGAAAGCGUUAAGUAUUCCACCUGGGGAGUACGCCGGCAACGGUGAAACUCAAAGGAAUUGACGGGGGCCCGCACAAGCGGUGGAGUAUGUGGUUUAAUUCGAAGCAACGCGAAGAACCUUACCAGGCCUUGACAUCCCUUGCAGAGGUAUAGAGAUAUAUCCGAGGUUAUCAAGGAGACAGGUGGUGCAUGGUUGUCGUCAGCUCGUGUCGUGAGAUGUUGGGUUAAGUCCCGCAACGAGCGCAACCCUUGCUAUUAGUUGCUACGCAAGAGCACUCUAAUAGGACUGCCGUUGACAAAACGGAGGAAGGUGGGGACGACGUCAAAUCAUCAUGCCCCUUAUGUCCUGGGCUACACACGUACUACAAUGGGUGUAACAGAGGGAAGCAACACAGCGAUGUGAAGCGAAACCCAAAAAGCACCCCCAGUUCGGAUUGAAGGCUGAAAUUCGCCUUCAUGAAGCCGGAAUUGCUAGUAAUGGCAGGUCAGCAUACUGCCGUGAAUACGUUCCCGGGCCUUGUACACACCGCCCGUCACACCAUGAGAGUUGGGGAUACCCGAAGCCUGUGAGCCAACAUAUCUAUGAGGCAGCAGUCGAAGGUAGAAUCAAUGAUUGGGGUG